CUGUACAGUCAUAUCACCCCGAACGUGCCUGUUCUUGUCUGAUUGCUAUAGUGAGACAGGGUCCUGCCUGGUCAGCACUUGGAUGGGAGAUCGCCUGAAAAGGUAGGGUGCUGUAGGCU
rnacentral:rRNA from 1 species